rnacentral:rRNA from 1 species
GACGAACGCUGGCGGCGUGCUUAACACAUGCAAGUCGAGCGGUAAGGCCUCUUCGGGGGUACACGAGCGGCGAACGGGUGAGUAACACGUGGGUGACCUGCCCUCAGCUCUGGGAUAAGCCUGGGGAAACUGGGUUUAAUACCGGAUAUGACUUUUCCUGGCAGGGGGUUUGGUGGAAAGUUUUUUCGGCGGGGGAUGGGCCGGCGGCCUACCAGCUUGUUGGGGGGGUGAUGGCCUACCAAGGCGACGACGGGUAGCCGGCCUGAGAGGGCGACCGGCCACACUGGGACUGAGACACGGCCCAGACUCCUACGGGAGGCAGCAGUGGGGAAUAUUGCGCAAUGGGCGGAAGCCUGACGCAGCGACGCCGCGUGGGGGAUGACGGCCUUCGGGUUGUAAACCUCUUUCGACCCCGACGAAUUUGGACGGUAGGGGUAGAAGAAGCACCGGCCAACUACGUG